rnacentral:rRNA from 1 species
AUGGGGCAGCUGGGGAAGCUGGUGGACGGGCUCAGGUCCAAGAUGCGGGCCGGUGGCGGCGGGAAGAAGAAGGCGGCGGCGGCGGCAUACCAGCAGAUGGGCAAGACGGACAGCAUGAGGGUGGAGAUCAAGAGCCGGCAGGCCCAGAAGCUCAUCGCCAAGAACCUCGUCGCCGCCGACUCCAUGGGCCGCCGCAGGAGCAGGAACAAGCGCUUCUUCCUCGCCUUCUGA